rnacentral:sRNA from 1 species
UAGAAUGGAUCAUGGUAUGGUGUCAUCGGA